CUGAAACAUAAUAGCGGUAAAUACCGUAUAUUCAUGAUCUUUUUCAAUCUCAUCAUUUCAACACCUUCGUCACUACCACUUCCCAUUCUCAGUUUGAACGUAUACGUUUAACAUGUAAACCUCAUAAAGCUCAAAUAUUAAUUACAAAUAUCCUUAAAUCAUCGUCGGUUUCCAUUCCACCACAUCUACACCUUAUAUAGUCGCUUUGAUCGUCCUCAAAUUGCAGCCACCGCUCUCGCCGGAAACUUGCUCACCGCCUUCAACAGCAGGCCAUCCUGAUCUCUCCCGGCCAGUUGAAACCACUCCGACGGCAUGUGGACGUUGGGGAGCACGACCCAUAGAAGCCUCUGUGGACCUCGCCGGAGUUGUGGAUCUCGCCGGGGCAAGCGCUAUCCACAGGCCAAUCUUGACUCGCCGUGUUUCCCUCCAAGCCGAUCUAUACCCGGAGCUGCUUGAUUCGACCUCCGCCGUUUCUGCUCAAAACAGAUCUAAGAAACCCCCGCUUCGAUCUUGCCGUCCUCUAGCAAAACAAUGAAGAGGAGAGAACCAGAUCUGUGCUCGCUUCCAUAGCUUCAGCCGUUUCAUAUGCAGCUCCGUCGGACUCCACACCACACACGGCCGGAGAAGGAGAGGGGGUUUCAGAGAAGACAUGCAACCAAAAACUUCAGUUCAGCACCGCCGAAAUACACAGAAAAAAAACGAAGAGGACAAGCCCUCUCCGCCGUCGGCUUAUGUGGUGGAGGUUUGUUCAAAGGUUUGGAAGUUCAUCACAAAAAGAGCCAUGAUUGUCAUAUCUUUCUUCGUCUGUACAUAGAUUUGCUCAUGCUUCUUGAUUUGAUUUCAAAAGUGAAACGUCUCUCAUGAAUUCUUUUUUUUUACUGUAGCUCAUUGUAUCGAGAUUCACAUGAUCAAAAGUAUGAAGAAGGGAAGAAAUUAUCUCUCAUCUGGUGAUUACUUAACUUAUAGAAAGAGUCACUUUUGAAAUGUUUUUCAGUUCAGUCUAUGUUAUAAUUGUUAGCUGUACAGAUUGUUAGUUGCUUCACACUACCACUCCAACGGUUAAGUUAGAACCGACAAGUAAAGAAAAAGCUGGAGCAGUUAUAUUCAGAUUUUGUGAGGCGCAAAAGAAUACACAUGAACAGAAACAGUGAUAUAACAUUGGGUGGCAGAGGUGAGAAGCUGCAGAGAAAACAGAGCCGAGAGUCACCAUUGGGUGGCCAACUUAUCUUGAGAGGAAAAGAAGAGAGGCUCAAGAGAGCCAAGUGAAUGAUCAACAAAAUUUGGAGGAACAAAAAUGAAUAGAGACUGACUAGGGAGAUUCUCUUGCAUCUUGCAAGGAGAAUGGUCUUAGUUUUGGUUUAUAAUCCGGAGUCGUGGUUCAUGAAGAAUAUAUUCAAAGAGAAUCUUAGUGUUGGUGGUCAUUAUACUCUAUAAAAACAUGCAUGUGAGAAACGAAGUGGAUCAAAUCAAAACCAGAACUGAGGACUGAAAGAAAAGAGGGCGAUGGAAUCUGAGAAAAAAAAAGUAACGAGACACCUCAAAUAGAACACUCGACUGAUACUUUGGACGCAAUAAACUGAUGUGUAGUGAAAAUUACGUUGAUUAUCUACUUUUACUAUAAAUAAGGACAUUUAGAAUUUUCGAGUUGA